rnacentral:rRNA from 1 species
CCCUUAGAUGUUCUGGGCCGCACGCGCGCUACACUGAUGCAUUCAACGAGUCCAACCUUGACCGAGAGGUCCGGGUAAUCUUUGAAACUGCAUCGUGAUGGGGCUAGAUUAUUGCAAUUAUUAAUCUUCAACGAGGAAUGCCUAGUAAGCGUGAUUCAUCAAAUCGCGUUGAUUACGUCCCUGCCCUUUGUACACACCGCCCGUCGCUCCUACCGAUUGAGUGUGUUGGUGAGGAGUUUGGAUUGGCCUCGGAAGGUGGUUCGCCACCGUCCGUAGCUGAGAAGUUCUCCAAACCGCCCCACUUAGAGGAAGGAGAAGCCGUAACA